rnacentral:rRNA from 1 species
AGUGAACGCUGGCGGUAGGCCUAACACAUGCAAGUCGAACGGCAGCACAGUAAGAGCUUGCCCUUACGGGUGGCGAGUGGCGGACGGGUGAGGAAUACAUCGGAAUCUACUUUUUCGUGGGGGAUAACGUAGGGAAACUUACGCUAAUACCGCAUACGUCCUACGGGUGAAAGCAGGGGAUCUUCGGACCUUUCGCGAUUGAAUGAGCCGAUGUCGGAUUAGCUAGUUGGCGGGGUAAAGGCCCACCAAGGCGACGAUCCGUAGCUUGUCUGAGAGGAUGAUCAGCGAAACUGGAACUGAGACACGGUCCAGACUCCUACGGGAGGCAGCAGUGGGGAAUAUUGGACAAUGGGCGAAAGCAUGAUCCAGCAAUACCGCGUGGGUGAAGAAGGCCUUCGGGUUGUAAAGCCCUUUUGUUGGGAAAGAAAAGCAGCAGGUUAAUACCCCGCUGUUAUGACGGUACCCAAAGAAUAAGCACCGGCUAACUUCGUG